GCUGGGCAAGGUGGUACAUGGCCUAUAGUCUCAUCUACUUGAGAGGCUGAGGCGGGAGGACCGCUUGAGCCCAGGAGGUUGAGUCUGCAAUGAGCCGUGAUACCUCACUGCACUCCAGCCUGGGUGAUGGAGCAAGACUCAUUUCGCUUUUAGAGACGGUGUUGCUCCAUCACCCAGGCUGGGGUGCAGUGGGGUGAUCACGGCUCAUUGUAGCCUCAAUCUCCUGGGCUCAAGUGAUCCUCCUGCUUCAG
rnacentral:sRNA from 1 species